rnacentral:rRNA from 2 species
GAGUUUGAUCGUGGCUCAGAUUGAACGCUGGCGGCGUGCCUAACACAUGCAAGUCGAGCGGUAACAGGUGUAGCAGUACAUGCUGACGAGCGGCGGACGGGUGAGUAAUGCUUGGGAAUCUUCCCAGUAGUGGGGAAUAACCAACCGAAAGGUUGGCUAAUACCGCAUAAGUUCUUCGGAAGAAAGCGGGGGAUCGUAAGACCUCGCGCUAUUGGAUGAGCCCAAGUCGGAUUAGCUAGUUGGCGGGGUAACGGCCCACCAAGGCGACGAUCCGUAGCUGGUCUGAGAGGACGACCAGCCACACCGGAACUGAGACACGGUCCGGACUCCUACGGGAGGCAGCAGUGGGGAAUAUUGGACAAUGGGGGAAACCCUGAUCCAGCGACGCCGCGUGUGUGAAGAAGGCCUGCGGGUUGUAAAGCACUUUUAGUGGGGAUGAAAAGUUUCGGGAUAACACCCCGGGAUCUUGACCUAACCCAAAGAAAAAGCACCGGCUAACUCUGUGCCAGCAGCCGCAGUAAC